rnacentral:lncRNA from 1 species
AUUGUUAUGUUUCCUUUUCAUUUCUGAUUUGUUAAUUUGGACACUGUCUCUGUGCCCUCUGGUUAGUUUGGCUAAGGGUUUAUCUAGCUUGUUGAUUUUCUCAAAGAACCAGCUCCUGGUUUGGUUGAUUCUUUAUAUAGUUCUUUUUGUUUAUACUUGGUUGAUUUCAGCCCUGAGUUUGAUUAUUUCCUGCCUUGUACUCCUCUUGGGUGUAUUUGCUUCCUUUUGUUCUAAAGCUUUCAGGUGUGCUGUCAAGCUGCUAGUGUAAGCUCUCUCCAGUUUCUUUUUGGAGGCACUCAGAGCUAUGAGUUUUCCUCUAAGGACUGCUUUCAUUGUGUCCCAUAAGUUUUGGUAUGCUGUGUCUUCAUUUUCAUUAAAUUCUAAAAAAGCCUUUAAUUUCUUUCCCUCUUUCUUCCUUGACCAAGUUAUCAUUGAGUAGAGCAUUGCUUACCUUCCAUGAGUAUGUAGAAUUUCUGUUGUUUUGUUGAUAUUUAAGACCAGCCUUAGUCUGUGGUGAUCUGGUGAUGCUGUGCAUGGGAUUAUUUCAAUCUUCUUGUAUCUGUUGUGGCCUGUUUUGUGACCAAUUAUAUGGUCAAUUUUGGAGAAGGUACCAUGAGGUGCUGAGAAGGUAUAUUCUUUUGCUUUAGAAUAAAAUGUUCUAUAAAUAUCUGUUAGAUCCAUUUGGUUCAUAACUUGUUAGUUUCACUGUAUCUCUGUUUAGUUUCUGUUUCCAUGAUAUGUCCAUUGCUGAAAGUGGGGUGUUGAAAUCUCCCACUAUUAUUGUGUGGGGUGUGAUGUGUGCUUUGAGCUUUAGUAAAGUUUCUUUUAUAAUGUGGGUGUCCUUGAAUUUGGAGCAUAGAUGUUCAGAAUUGAGAGUUCAUCUUGGUAGAUUUUUCCUUUGAUGAGUAUGAAGUAUCCUUCCUUAUCUUUUUGAUAACUUUUGGUUGAAAAUUGAUUGUAUUCAAUAUUAGAAUGGCUACUCCAGCUUGUUUCUUGGGACCAUUUGCUUAGAAAAUUGUUUUCCAACCUUUUACUCUGAGGUAGUGUCUGACUUUGUCACUGAGGUGUGUUUCCUGUAUGCAGCAAAAUGCUGGGUCCCGUUUAUGUAGCCAGUCUGUUAGUCUAUAUCUUUUACUAGAGAAUUGAGUCCAUUAAUGUUAAGAGAUAUUAAGGAAAAGUGAUUGUUCCUUCCCGUUAUUUUUGUUGUUAGAGGUGGAAUUAUGUUUGUGUGGCUAUCUUCUUUUGGGUUUGUUGAAAGAUUACUUUCUUGCUUUUUCUAGGGUAUAGUUUCCCUCCUUGUGUUGGAGUUUUCCAUCUAUUAUCCUUUGUUGGGUUAGAUUUAUGGAAAGAUAUUGUGUAAAUUUGAUUUUGUCAUGAAAUAUCUUGUUUUCUCCAUCUAUGGUGAUUGAGAGUUUUGCUGGGUAUAGUAGCCUGGGCUGGCAUUUGUGAUCUCUUAAGGUCUGUAUGACAUCUGCCCAGGAUCUUUUGGCUUUCAUAGUCUCUGGUGAGAAGUCUGGUGUAAUUCUGAUAGGUCUGCCUUUAUAUUUUACUUGACCUUUUUCCUUUACUGUUUUUAUUAUUCUUUCUUUGUUUAGUGCAUUUGGUGUUUUGAUUAUUAUGUGAUAGGAGAAAUUUCUUUUCUGGUCCAGUCUAUUUGGAGUUGUGUAGGCUUCUUAUAUGUUCAUGGGCAUCUCUUUCUUUAGUUUAGGGAAGUUUUUUUCUAUAGUUUUGUUGAAGAUAUUUACUGGCCCUUUAACUUGGGAAUCUUUGCUCUCUUCUAUACCUAUUAUUCUCAGGUUUGGUUUUUUCAUUGUGUCCUAGAUUUCCUGGAUGUUUUGGGCUAGAACUUUUUGCUUUUUGCAUUUUCUUUGACUGUUAUCUCAAUGUUUUCUAUGGUAUCUUCUGCACCUGAGAUUCUCUCUUCUAUCUCUUGUAUUCUGUUGAUGAUGCUUGCAUCUAUGACUCCUGAUAUCUUUCCUAAGUUUUCUAACUCCAGGGUUGUCUCCCUUUCUGAUUUCUUUAUUGUUUCUAUUUCUAUUUUUAGAUCCUGGAUGGUUUUGUUCAUUUCCUUCACCUGUUUGUUUUUUCCUGUAAUUCUUUAAGGGGUUUUUGUGUUUCCUCUUUAAGGGCUUCUAACUGUUUACCUGUGUUCUGUAUUUCUUUAAGGGAGUUAUUUAUGUCCUUCUUAAAGUCCUCUAUCAUCAUCAUGAGGAGUGAUUUUAGAUCCGAAUCUUGCUUUUCUGCUGUGAUGGUGUAUCCAGGACUUGCUAUUGUGGGAGCAUUGGGUUCUGAUGAUUCCAAGUAACUUUGAUUUCUGUUGCUUAUGUUCUUAUGCUUGCCUCCUGCCAUCUGAUUAUCUGUAAUGCUACCUGCCUUUGCUAUAUCUGACUGGAGCCUGUCCUUCCUGUAAUCCUGGUUAUGUCAGAACUCCUCAAAGUUCUGCUGUCUCUGACCCUGUGAUUCUGUGAUCCUAUGAUUCUGUGAUCCUGUGAUCCUGAGAUCCUGGGUGUGUCAGAGCUCCUCAUAGUCAAGCUGCCUCCUGGACCCUGAGAUCCUGGUGUGACCAUGUUUCUGGGAUUCUGGGUUCCUAUGAUCCUGGUGUGUUAGAGAGCCUUGGAAUGGAGCUUCCUCUGGGUGUUGUGGGACUGGCUGCAGAGUUGGUGCCCAGGGUCUGCUCCAGGCACUGGCCCAGACUAGAAGAAACCUGUGCCACUGGUUGGGCAGAGUUCCUGGGUGCCUAGGUCCAGCUGGUCCCAGUUACUCCUGGUGUUGGGGCAGAUGUUGUGUCCUCCUCACCUCUGAUCCUAUGAUCAUCAGAGUGUUAGAGCACCUGGGAGUGGAGCUUCCUCUGGGUGUUGUGGGACUGGAUGCAGAGUUUGAGCCCAAGGUCUGCUCAGGACACUGGCCCAGACCAGAAGGCUAGCAUAAAUGUUUUUAAGGAUACAUGGAUGAAUGAAUAUUUCCAGGACUUUGAUUUCAGUGAUAGUAGAUAAAGGCAGGGACAGUAAGGUUUCUUGUGAGUCUGAGCCCAAGCUAAUCUACAAACAAAUCCAUGUCAGCUUAGGCUACACAGAGAAGCUCUGUUUCAAUAAAUAAUAAUUGUUUUGCUUAAAAUUGUUUUAAUUACUAAAAUGGAGGUGGUUAUAAGUUAGGUGGCCAUGCUGGUAUUACAAAUCCUCUAUGAGAGAGAUCAAAGUAGAUCAGACCUAAACAAAAAGAAGCUGCUAAAUUGAAUCAAUCUAUAUACUUUGAUCACUUUUGCUAUACCACGGAAAUGCUAUUUUGGGGAGAGAGGCUCUGAAUUUGUGUUAACAGGAAACAAAACAGUGCUUUGGACUCCUUCCAAAGUAAUAGGGAUCAGAUUUGAUAGGGAAAGAUCCCCUAAAGAUCUUGGUUGCAGACAGGAAGAAAGACAUCAAGAAGACCAAACAGGAUAAGUAACAUAAUUUGCUGAUUCCUCUACAUGGAAACAUCCCUAAAGCUGGCUGAGACAUAAAAAUGUCUCUAGCCAGAACUUCAGAUAUACAUAGCCAAUCGAGCCUGUAAGCUACAGAGUCCUCAAAAUUCAUCAUUCCAUCCUUUCACACAGCAUGAAUGAAAAUUUAUAUUGCAAUUUGGUUAACGUUCAAACUAAAUCGUAAAGAAAGACAGUUGUUCUUCACCUGCUCAAACCAAAAAAAAAAAAUCAUCCUUUACUAUCUGUGCACCUUACACAUUCCAUACAAAUAUCUUUACAGAACUAAAUAUUGGUUGUAAGGUUUAUAUAUUACAGAAAGAAACACCAAGUGGGCAACCCUAGUAAUUCACCCUCGUGGAUGCUGAAAUGGCCUGCUGUUCCAGCUCCCUGCCUGAUCCCGCCUCAACUAAUAAACUUUCUAGACACUUGCUUCCAGAACUCUUUCAAGGAAGACUGCUGAUUCCAGAUGACCUAGGUUCAUUCCAGUAGACUUCAGUUAAGCCUUGAUCUUUCUCAAAAUAUAAAGACUGGACAACAAAUAAUUCAAGCUAGCUUUAUUUUACUUAACCAUUUUCCUAAUUUCUUUUUGGGCUCCGAACAGGAAUUGUUCACCUCAAUUCAGCAGGAAGCAAUUAUAGGAAGUCUGUCAUCCCAACCCCUUAAGUUUGGAUGGAUGCCUGUUGUUAUUUUAUAAAUUGCAAAUAUAUUAUCAUUUUAAUGGAUAAUUUACAAAUAAUUAUGGUCUUGGACAGGGCAGACACAAAAUAGAAAGCUUAUACUCAGGGAUUUCUCUUUUUCCCUAUCCUUCUUUCUUUCUUAGGUAAAGGAAAGGAUAUUGAGAGAAGAAGGGGGAUAUAGUAAUAUACUAGAUAGAACAAAUAGGGAUUGAUUAUUCAAUCUACUCUUAAACAAAAGCAUUUUAUAGCCAUCAUCUUACAUUGGUAGAGAUCUUCAUAUUUUGAUGUAGAAUCGAAGUUUUAUUUUCUUACACUGGUACAGAAUUUUGUAUAUUGAUUUUGUAUAUUGAUUCAGGUUUUCAUUGGUAUAAGUCAUUGUAUAUUGAUACAAAAUUUAAGGUUAAUUUUGUUACAACAUGUUAUAUUUAUGCUUCAACUCUUGUAUAGGUAUUGUACCUAUGCAACUUAUUUAAUAAUACAAGGCUUAGUCUCCACCUUUUUAAUAACUGCUAUUUCA